AGCUUUUAACAUGUAAUAAAUGUGCAAUUUCAAAAGAUUUAUACCAAUAAUUUAAAGUUAAAAGUUUUUAGGUUUAUAAACUACUUCGUAGUUUAAAAACCCACUUGUAUCAGUAAACUUUAGUUCUGGUAGACUAAUUAUUUCAUGUCAUAUUAAGAUAUUAAAUCAUAUUAAGAUACUGUGCGUGUGUGUUUUCUGUUGUGUGUGUGUGUGUGUGUGUGUGCGUGUGCGCGCGCGUGUGUGUGCGCGCGUGUGUGUGUGUUCUGUUGUGUGUGUGUUAUUUUGCAGCUUACAGCUCAUUCAAGUGCCACUGGUCUUGCAGUAUUUCAUCUUUUCCAAACAACCGAGUAAAUUUACAGCUCAUUCAAGUGCCACUGGUCUGUUUUUGGAGAAUUUCAUCUUUAAGGUGCUGUGAGAAAGAGCCAUGUCUCCCGUGCCGCCACUGAUGAUGACAUUACAAAACACGUAAUACGGUGGUUCAACUUGGCAGCAGAUAGGGGAAACUCAAGGAGCCGUCCCACUGUCAGCACCCAACAGUAGCGUUUCGGUGUUUCACAGUUAACUUCUGUGUUUUGAAGUGUUCGUUUAACAGUUAAGUAGUAACAGUUGAGAUAAAGUUUACUACUUUAAAUAGUUUUGUUUCUAUUCAUCUUCAAAAAACCCAGUUUCCACACAAAAAAAUAAGCAGUGCAACAUUAAUAAGAAUAAAUGUUUCUUGAGCUACAUUAAAAAAGUGUUCUUUUUCAUUAAAUAAAAAAUGUUCUUUGGACAAUUUAUGGUUGCAUUUCAUUUUCUGUAAUACCUAUUAAUUGUAUACAUAAAUAAUUGUUACUGGCUAAAAUGGCUGAAUUUUGAUUUACAAGUUUUGAAUGAUUUCAUCAUGUUUUAUUAAUAAAGGCAGGCAUAUUAAAUAUUAUAGAGCAAUCCAGUCUAUCCAAUGUCGGUCCAUUAGAUUUGAAAUAUUUCUUUAGCUAGUUUUGGCCAGAAUACUAGUUUUAAAUGAGGGAUCUGAAAGGUAUCCAGACAGAAUGACCAGAUCGGAUCCGUGGCGGAUCAGCUGCUUUAUAAACGGGUCCUGAUCGGAUCCGUGGCGGAUCAGCUGCUUUAUAAACGGGUCCUGAUCGGAUCCGUGGCGGAUCAGCUGCUUUAUAAACGGGUCCUGAUCGGAUCCGUGGCGGAUCAGCUGCUUUAUCAGCGGAUACAGGGCGGGUCUGCCCCAGAUCUGGUCCGGAUCCGCAAU